rnacentral:misc_RNA from 1 species
GGUGAAUGUAUUCUUUUAACUUUUUGCUGUAGAUUUAUUAUUGGCCGGAUUGUACACGCUGAACUCCCCGAAGUCCCUUUUGCCACUGUGCAUUACAUCCCAACCAGCAGGUAAGAAGCGAGGAUGAGUUGCUUCAACAAAAACUUGUCUCCAUCGCCGACAAAAUUGAUGAAUGCCAUCUUCUCCAUAUUCUUUCAUUAUGUGUUCCACAACUCGCUUUCCAUGUGGUCCAUGUCCUAACAGAGAUAACUUCGAAUUAUUUUCAGGCAAAGUAUUUUCA